GACGAACGCUGGCGGCGUGCUUAACACAUGCAAGUCGAACGGAAAGGCCCUGCUUUUGUGGGGUGCUCGAGUGGCGAACGGGUGAGUAACACGUGAGUAACCUGCCCUUGACUUUGGGAUAACUUCAGGAAACUGGGGCUAAUACCGGAUAGGAGCUCCUGCUGCAUGGUGGGGGUUGGAAAGUUUCGGCGGUUGGGGAUGGACUCGCGGCUUAUCAGCUUGUUGGUGGGGUAGUGGCUUACCAAGGCUUUGACGGGUAGCCGGCCUGAGAGGGUGACCGGCCACAUUGGGACUAAGAUACGGCCCAGACUCCUACGGGGGGCAGCGGUGGGGAAUAUUGCACAAUGAGCGGAAGCCUGAUGCAGCGACGCCGCGUGCGGGAUGACGGCCUUCGGGUUGUAAACCGCUUUCGCCUGUGACGAAGCGUGAGUGACGGUAAUAGGUAAAGAAGCACCGGCUAACUACGUG
rnacentral:rRNA from 1 species